UACGAGGGGGGCGAGCGUUGUUCGGAAUUAUUGGGCGUAAAGGGUGCGUAGGCGGUUCCGCAAGUCCUGUGUGAAAUCUUCGGGCUCAACUCGAAGUCUGCACGGGAAACUGCGGGGCUUGAGUGUGGGAGAGGUGAGUGGAAUUCCCGGUGUAGCGGUGAAAUGCGUAGAUAUCGGAAGGAACACCAGUGGCGAAAGCGGCUUCCUGGUCCAGCACCGACGUCAGGCACGAAAGCGUGGGGAGCAAACAGG
rnacentral:rRNA from 1 species